UCCACUCUUCUACUAACCAAAAUAAAAGUUUUUUUAACUAAGAUGUUCGUUCAACGUAAUAUAAGUUCUGGUUGUAAAGAAAACCAUUGUUAUCAAUUAAUUAGUAAAGUUGCUGACGUAAAAUAUUAUUAAAAUUAGAAUCAUUAAAUGCAGUUUUGAAAUAUUAUAUUAAAAUGAAGAACAGAUCAACACGUCAUAAAUGGAAAGAUAUAUUUCAGUUUGCAAAAGGGAAGAAAACGACGAGGAAGUGGAAAUGUAUUUUUAUGAAGCGACACAAAAAUGGAAUCUCAUGAAAUUAACAUAUGACUAUUGUAGUUCUAAAAUAUAAAUGAGAAAAAUUAUUAGAAUUUAGUAAUCGCUCGAUAAGGAACAAUACAUCAUCGAACGUUCCUAAAAUAUAUAUAGUUAAAAAUUAAAUGAGACAACAAAUUAUCCAGGAAAACUCGGAAUUAUCUGCAAAUGAAAAUAAGCUUAUCUCUAAAAACAGUGAAAAAGAAAACGAAGAUGGUAAUGACGAUAAUUAAAACGUGAUGAUGAAAAUAAUACUUUAGUUGAGCAAGACGAAAAAGAAAGAAUGGAAUGAUAUGAAAUUAAAUAAUGAAAAUAUUUUAUAUAUUUAGAAGAUAAAGCUGAAACGACAGAUGCACAUUUGUUUGUCAUACGAAAACAUAUUGAAUUUUCGUAUAUUUAUUAAUAUGUUAUUUUCAUGAUAUAGACCAAACUAUAAUUCGGUAGAUAUGCAACAUUGGAGAAUUAUGGUUAUGCUAAUCUGAUUGAUACUUUCAAGAUUUUAACUUGGAUUGUAAUCGAGCGACUACAAAUAGAUUUUCAUUCAUAAAAUUCAUAAUAUUAAUGAAUAUAUUUGUCAAAAAUUUAAUUUUCUUCGCAUAGAUCUCGAAGAAACGUCCACGAUUAUAGAAUCAUCUACUUUUGGAUAAAUUGACAAAGGAGGUAACUUCUGUGACAAAGAAAUAAAUGCGUAAGGAAGAAAAUACGAAAUUCUAUAGUAUGAGACAACAAAACUGUAACAAGAAAAGAUAUAUAAGUUGCAGAUAAUGUAUCGUAAUUAGUUCUGCUACAAAUUUGUGGGAGAAUUGAAAUUAUCAAUAAUGGAAGAAACCUAAAAUUAUGCAACAAAGGAAGAAAGUAAACAAGAAAAAAAACGCUUAGUAAACAUCUUCAGUUAUAUGCACCUGCACCUCUGCUGACAAGCUUUUCCAAAUUAUAAUAAAUACAUGGUACUGAUGUAAUAUUGCCGCAUCUUGAUAUAUCUCACACUUUUCCUCUGUGUAUCCACUGCUCAAUUUCUUAUUUUAAAGGAAUAGUAUUUUAUCGCUGAAGAAGAAGAAGAAGGAAAAGCAGUCAGUUUUAAUUCAGUUGUCAGCAAUCUUAAUUAGAGAAUGUCUGAAAUGAAACUUUCUAAUCGGUUCAUAACCCUGUAAAUCUAUUAAUAUAUACAUAUUUGUGUCAUAUUUAAUCAGUUUUUACUCCUUAAAUUAUAUUAAUUUCUAACGAUUGACCUACACUAUUUCUUACAAAUAUGUAGGAAGAGAAAUAAACUUUGAGAAUAUUGGAUUGUCAGAAAAAAAGCGUAAAUAAUUUUUUAUUUCAAACCUACAGGUAAUAUCUUUUAUUUUAUAGUAUUUCAUACUAAUUACAUUCGAAUUGUAUUUUUUCUGUGCAUAUAUAUUUCGAUGUAAGUUAUUUCAA